rnacentral:rRNA from 1 species
GACGAACGCUGGCGGCGUGCUUAACACAUGCAAGUCGAGCGGAGCGGCGAACGGGUGAGUAACACGUGAGUAACUGCCCCCCUCUCUGGGAUAACAGUUGGAAACGGCUGCUAAUACCAGAUAGUGGGGGAUGACUCGCGUCCUAUCAGCUUGUUGGUGUGGUAGUGGCCGCGCAAGGCGCCGACGGGUAGCCGGCCUGCGAGGGCGAACGGCCACAUUGGGCUGAGAGACGGGCCAAACGCCUACGGGAGGCAGCAGGGGGGAAUAUUGCACAAUGGGGGAAACCCUGAUGCAGCAACGCGCGGGCGGGAUGACGGCCUUCUGGUUGUAAACCGCUUUCAGCCAUGACGCGGUAGUGGCAGAAGAAGCACCGGCUAACUACGUGCCAGCAGCCGCGGUAAUUC